GGGUUGUGAGGUUAAGCGACUAAGCGUACACGGUGGAUGCCCUGGCAGUCAGAGGCGAUGAAGGGCGUGCUAAUCUGCGAUAAGCGCCGGUAAGGUGAUAUGAACCGUUAUAACCGGCGAUACCCGAAUGGGGAAACCCAGUGUGAUUCGUCACACUAUCAUUAACUGAAUCCAUAGGUUAAUGAGGCGAACCGGGGGAACUGAAACAUCUAAGUACCCCGAGGAAAAGAAAUCAACCGAGAUUCCCCCAGUAGCGGCGAGCGAACGGGGAGGAGCCCAGAGCCUGAAUCAGCAUAUGUGUUAGUGGAAGCGUCUGGAAAGGCGCGCGAUACAGGGUGACAGCCCCGUACACAAAAGCGCAUGUGCUGUGAGCUCGAUGAGUAGGGCGGGACACGUGGUAUCCUGUCUGAAUAUGGGGGGGACCAUCCUCCAAGGCUAAAUACUCCUGACUGACCGAUAGUGAACCAGUACCGUGAGGGAAAGGCGAAAAGAACCCCGGCGAGGGGAGUGAAAAAGAACCUGAAACCGUGUACGUACAAGCAGUGGGAGCACCCUUUGGGG
rnacentral:rRNA from 1 species